rnacentral:pre_miRNA from 1 species
UUUAGAACUCGAGAUAUGGGUUGAACACUGAAUAGUGUCUGGGCUGCAGGACAUAUUCCGACUUCUCUGUUGUUGCUAAGAUUUGGACUUUCAAAUAGCAGAAUUGAGUCUUUCACUCCCCCAUGAAUGUUUUAGGCCUAUUUUUUAGCUUUGUAGU